UGUGUACUCCCUCCGUUCCAAAAUACUUGGCUUCCAUUUGUCCAAAAAUGGAUGUGCCUAUAUACUAAAACAUGUCUAGAUAUAUAUAUUUUUUGACAAAUAGAAGGCAUGUAUUGUGCAACGGAGGGAGUAGAAU
rfam:Triticum aestivum genome assembly, contig: Triticum_aestivum_CS42_TGACv1_scaffold_577186_7BL